rnacentral:rRNA from 1 species
ACUACAAGUGAAAAACUUAAAACUCAAAGGACUUGACGGUGUCCCAUAUCGACCUAGAGGAGCCUGUCCUAUAAUCGAUACCCCCCGCUCCACCCGACCCCAACUAGCACACAUCAGCCUAUAUACCGCCGUCGAUCAGCCUACCCUAUGAAAGUCCAACAGUAGACACAAUAGCCCCACCGCUAAUACGUCAGGUCAAGGUGUAGCAAAUGUUGUGGAAGAGAUUGGCUACAUUUUUUAUUAUAAAAAAUACGAAAUAUACCAUGAAACAGUAUAUGAAGGUGAAUUUAGUAGUAAAAUAAACAAGAGUGUUUAUUUUAACAACGCUCUGGGACGCGUACACACCGCC